rnacentral:miRNA from 1 species
GACGUCGAAUAUCGACGUCAUAAACACCAAUGUUGUUCGUGUGUAUGACGUCGAAUAUCGACGUCAUAAACACCAAAGUUGAUCGUGUUUAUGACGUCGAAUAUCGACGUCAUAAACACCAAAGUUGAUCGUAUUUAUGACGUCGAAUAUCGACGUCAUAAACACCAAAGUUGAUGGUGUUUAUGACGUCGAAUAUCGACGUCAUAAACACCAAAGUUGAUGGUGUUUAUGACGUCGAAUAUCGACGUC